rfam:Gossypium hirsutum cultivar TM-1 chromosome 6, whole genome shotgun sequence
CUUCAGGAAGCGUUUUGCCUACUUGGACAUAAAACGCGCCCUUAAAGGAGCGAUUUUUGUCCACAUAGGCAAAACACUUCCUCAAGG